CAUAGCGACCCCUCAGCCCUAUAGGGUCCCCCGAAAACCACACAGGGACACCUCAGCCCUAUAGGGACCCCCAAACCCCAUAGGGGCCCCAAAACCCCACAGAGCCCCAUAGGGUCCCCCCAAAACCCCACAGGGACCCCUCAGCCCUAUAGGAACCCCAAAACCCCCAUAGCGACCCCUCAGCCCUAUAGGAACCCCAAAACCCCAUAGGGAGCCCAAAACCCCACAGAGCCCCAUAGGGACUCCCCCAAACCCCAUAGGGAACCCCUCAGCCCUACAGGAACCCCCCCCCAAAAUACCAUAGGGACCCCUCAGCCCUAUAGGAACCCCAAAACCCCAAAGAGGCCCCAAAACCCCACAGAGCCCCAUAGGGUCCCCCCAAAACCCUACAGGGAUCCCUCAGCCCUAUAGGAACCCCAAAACCCCCCAUAGGGACCCCUCAGCCCUAUAGGAACCCCAAAACCCCCCAUAGGGACCUCUCAGCCCUAUAGGGACCCCAAAACCCCACAGGAACCCCUCAGCCCUAUAAGGACACCAAAAACCCCAUAUGGACCCCCCAGCCCUAUAGCAACCCCAAACCCCAGAGGGACCCCUCAGCCCUAUAGGAACCCCCAAACCCCAUAGGGGCCCCAAAACCCCACAGAGCCCCAUAGGGUCCCCCCAAAACCCUACAGGGACCCCUCAGCCCUAUAGGAACCCCAAAACCCCAAAGAGGCCCCAAAACCCCACAGAACCCCAUAGGGAACCCCAAAACCCCACAGGGACCCCUCAGCCCUAUAGGAACCCCAAAACCCCCAUAGCGACCCCUCAGCCCUAUAGGGUCCCCCGAAAACCACACAGGGACCCCUCAGCCCUAUAAGGACACCAAAAACCCCAUAGGGAACCCCCAGCCCUAUAGGGGACCCCCAAACCCCAUAGGGACCCCUCAGCCUUAUACAGAUCCCGAAACCCCAUAGGGGCCCCAUUGGGUCCCCCCAAAACCCCAUACGGAACCCCUCAGCUCUAUAGGAACCCCAAAACCCCAUAGGGACCCCUCAGCUCUAUAGAGACCCCCAAAACCCCAUGGGGACCCUCAAGCCCUAUAGGAACCCCAAAACCCCAUGGAGAACCCUCAGCCCUAUAUAGACCCCCAAAACCCCACAGGGACCCCGAUACCCUACAGAGCCCCACAGGGACCCCCCCCAAAAACCCCAUAGGGAACCUCCAGCCCUAUAGGAACCCCAAAACCCCACAAAGCCCCAUAGGGACCCCCCAAAACCCCAUGGGAGCCCCAAAACCCCACAGAGCCCCAUAGGGACCCCCCAAAACCCCAUGGGAGCCCCAAAACCCCACAGAGCCCCAUAGGGUCCCCCCAAAACCCCAUAGGGACCCCUCAGCCCUAUAGGAACCCCAAAAGCCAGAAGGGACCUCAAAACCACACAGAGCCCCAUACAGACACCCCAAAACCCCAUAGGGAACCCCCAGCCCUAUAGGAACCCCAAAACUCCACAGAGCCCCAUAGAGUCCCCCCAAAACCCCACAGGGACCCUGAUACCCUACAGAGCCCCAUAGGGACCCCCAAAACCCCAUAGGGACCCCUCAGCCCUAUAGGAACCCCAAAACUCCACAGAGCCCCAUUGAGACCCCCAAAUCCCAUAGGAGACCCCAUACAGACCCCAAAACCCCACAGAGCUCCAUAGGGAACCCCAAAUCCACAUAGAGGGUCGCCAAACCCCAAAGGGACCCCAAAACCCCACAGAGCCCCAUAGGGACACCCCACAAACCCCACAGAGACCCCAAAACCACCGGCGGUACCC
rnacentral:lncRNA from 1 species